CUUCCUCCCUUCUUUCUUUCCUUCCCUCCCUCCUUCCCUCAGCCCCCGCAGCCCUCGGGUUUCUGAGGGAAGGCAGCUCGCCCCACGGGGUGGUGUCCCCUAGCUCUCUCCGUUAGGACACGCCACCAUCGCCCCACACGAAGACGGCGAGAAUAUGUUUUAUUCCAUGCGUUUUCUCUGGGUUGAGCAAUCUGGAAGGAGUGUUAUGCAAAUUGUCUUUUGAAUGUCAUCAUGAACGACACGGCAAGAGAGGCUGGAUCCUCCCUUUGGGAUGUUUCUGUCUCAGGAACCAGCAGCAAAGCUGCAUGACGCCCAUGUCCUAAGUCACAGCAAGUGGACCCGGAGAACAACGCUAAAAGUUUUUCGUCUGGAUUUUUUCUCACACAAAAUCGAAUCAGUUCCAUGGAACACAGUGGACUUGUGCUGUGUAGCAAAGAACAGCGUGUAUUUGCUUUUUCUCACCCUACAAUAGAUAUUUAAAUGUCUUCCAAACUCAGAGAGCGUAUUUCAUUAUUUUCUUGUAAU